ensembl:lncRNA
AUGUCUGAUGGAGAACAGAAAACGAGUGAGAAAGAGGUACCAUGUAUUAGGAAAUGUACCAUGAUGAGCAAAGGUGCAGUGCAGCUACCACAGGGUACAGCAGCAGGGAUGGAACAGCCCAGCAAACCUGCAGGGACUCUGUGUGAGUGCAGCCAUAACGGAAGGCCUUGCCAGCACUCACCUCCUCUCUGUUUUCUGUCGGACGUUGAACUGGCAUGGUGCUGGCUCUUAUUGUUGUCUGUAGAGUCUGCAUUGGGAAGACAGAAUGUCUCCAAAGAGCAGCUAUGCGAAAGAAUUGACGUUGGGGUCUUCUGCAGCUGAACUGCUGUAUUUUCAGGUUAUAGUUAAGUUUCUUAUUCAGUGAGUAAUAGGGCAGGAAGCAGCAGUCAGAGGUUGUUUGGCCAUGUCUGUGCCCCAGGGCAGGCUCUACUAGCUAAACUAUACAUGACUGGGAAUUUCCAGCCUCUUCUUGAUAAUGUUUAAUGACAGAGUCUCCGGUUCCUAUAAGUAAUCCAUUUUAAGGCUUUGUUAGCCUUGCUAUUGGAGCAGUAUUCUGGCUGUCUAACUUAAAUCUGUCUUGCUGCAAUUUAAACUCAUUAUUUCUUCUCCUGUUUAUUGUGUAACGACCUUGAAGAGUUUUGUCAUGUCUUCCUUGAGGCUAGAGUGCUGGAAAGCCAGGGGAGGAGGGUGGCAGUGGUGCACACAGAGCUGGGAACUGCUGCCUUGUAUACUUUCACCUCCUUUUCCUUCAGUCAUCUGGAGCAUCUGCUUGUACAGCAUGCUUGUCAGUACCAGGGUCUACAGAGAGGGUGAAAGGGCACAUACCCACUUGCUACAGCUUUGAGUAGAAAUACAGGUGAAAAGUGUAAAAUAUUAAUUCUAAGAUUUGGUUUUGGAGAUGGACAAGGCAAGGUCAUCUGUUGAAGUGCAGUGGGACGAGGGAAGUGUUUCGUGGCAGAGGAACCAAGGGGAGUACUGGCAGAGACCCAGUCUGGCUGCUGUAGGCAAAUUGUUGUCACUCAGCCUUAUGGAAGUAUAUAUAGAUGAAGAUGGAUAGGAGAGUUUGCCCUACUGAUGCUUCCCAGAGAAGCAUAUGCCAAAUGCAAGGUGAUGGCACCCCUAAAAACUCUCCCAAAAUUCACGUAAGACUAGAGAUUCAGUGUUCUUCCAAACACAGUACAGUUUCCCUGCAGUAGGGCAUAACUGUAACUAGCAUUUACAAGAUGUAUGAUUUACAUUAUAUGGAUGGCAGAGAUACCUGCUGAGAGAUCUCCUGGGUGCUGAGAGCAGCGUAUGGGAUGCUGUGGGCAGAUCAGGGAAGUUUUAUGAGUGGCUGCUUUUUGUUAAUGCACUGAUCAGGAGAAAGCAGCCAGCUCUUUCAGAAAUCUUCCUUUAGGGAUUUGUGUUUUUACUUGAGAAAUAUUAAACUGAAUUCUGUGUUAUCUAUCCAAAGAGCACUGGUGCUUAUGUACAGUCCAAACCAGCGCUCGCUUUCCUCAGAUGAGUCUGUUACCCAUCAGGAGAGACCGCUCUGAACCCCACCAGCUCCUGACUGCCUCUUUGUAAUAGCUUAUGACUUGUCUCCAAGGCCUGGCUGCAUCAGUGUGCACAAACACAGCUGUUAAACGAGAAACAGCAGUUUGGUAACAUUAAUUGCUAAUUAAAAAUGUGCUUUGUGUCCUGUGACCUUGAGGCUAGGCAUUCAAGUGCUAAAAUAUGACCCCUGUUUGACAAAUACUGCUUUGAUGUGACCCAUAUUUCACAGAUAACAUUUUAAUUGGUUUCUGGUGCUUACAGCAGCGUAAAAUAAAUUGUUCCUGAUUCGCA